GUAUCUCAACUACUUUUUACUUUAGUUAUAAUGUUUUAUACAGGGGAUAUUUCUCUGGAAGUUGAGGACUGCUGCUAUAACGGUACUACCUUAAGAUGGCUCGGAAAACGAACG
rnacentral:lncRNA from 1 species